rnacentral:lncRNA from 1 species
GCAUCCGAAGGGCCAUGCAGUUCCUAGGAGGACCCGCAGGAGAAGCGUCGGAGGACUGAGGGCUCAGACAGUGGGGGCGAGGAUGAGGCUGAGAAGCUUGCUGAGGAGAAGCUCUGACAGCUCCAAGAGAUAUCAGAGAGGGCUUCAGGGGCCAUCAGAGAUGGUUUCCAGCAGCAGGCCUCAGCAUGUUCUCAAAGCCACUGGCAACAGAUUGGAAACCUCAUGCUCUACACAGCUGCUGGCAUCACUGGAAGCACCAAGGUUGUGUUCGUCACCAUUCAGAUGGGUAUCUCUAGGGGGAAACUGAAACCUGAGGAUUUCAAGUCUAAAGUGGAGACCAUUCUGAAGACAUUACAGCUCCCCGCACAGGUUAGUCAAGAAACAUUUACACACAAAGAUGGAGCUUGGAAGCAGAUACACUGUGUUGUAUUUAUGUGUUUGUCUGUAUUUUAUCGUGUGUAAUUCAGAUGUUGACACCUCAAACGGUGUGUGUCUCAUGUCUUUGUGGUGUCUGGUUCUGCGAUCUACAGGAAGUCAGUGAUGGGGAUAUGGGAGCACCUUUGUGAGAAGGUGAGACCAGAAGACAUGUCUCAUAUCAGACAUUGUGAAUAGGGAUUAAAGGGUGGCUAUGAUUGUAUCCUUCUACAACAGGUCACAACACGGGUGUGUCACAAAAGGUUCACAAUACCAACUCCCUUUGGCACUGUCGAGUUGUGCUUGUCAUCCACUUAGACCACAUUACCCUGUUUGCUCUGAAUCUUGAGCUGCAGUUCCAAACUCCAGAGUUCUUCCUGGUGCUGGAAGAGUGCCCCCUUCAGUCUUCCUCCAUUUGAUCCUGUGAGUAACCUGGUGAAUAUCAGUGGUAUUCUGUCUGCACAGAAUACGUAUCUGAAACUUUUUAAGUCUCUGUAUGAGUCUCUCUCUCCAGAGGAAACGUGACUCCAACGCCUGUCUGUAUGACCUGCCCAGUGCCUCCAUCACCUCCACCAAGCAGGAAGUCAUCAUUGCCGUGGGUUUCCCUGCUGGCAAGUGGACGUGUAUUCCUUUUUCUUUCUCUUCCUCACUUUUUACUAUCUGCCUUCUUUUUUUUUUAUCUAGCCGGGAAAUCAACCUUUUUCCACACACACAUCGUCCCCAAAGAUCACGUGCACGUGAACAUGACACCCUGGGCUUGUAG